AGCCUCAUCAAACAGCUAGAGUUCUAUGAUGAGUUUAUUGCAAAGGCCCAAGCUGAAGUCAGUGGAGAUCUUGAUGUUGGCAGCUCAAACUCCACCAAACCACAAAAUAAAACUCUGUGCGCCACUGAAACUGAGAAGGCAAAGAUUAAACCGUGCUCUCUGCAGAGGUCAUCUUCCAAGGAUCUUGAGGAGGAAUAGAAGACUGUCAUCCAAUUGGAGACAUCUGAAAGAGAUGACAGUGUUGAUGAUAAAGAGGAAGUACUAUCUCAAGAUCCUUGUCCUUGACUUGGCAGCCCAGUGCAGGAGCCCCAGUCCCUAAAAGAUGUGCCCCGAAACAUCCAAGGGGAAAAUAACUUUGCUUUCGC